rnacentral:rRNA from 1 species
AACCCGGUGAUCUAGCCAUGGGCAGGUUGAAGGUUGGGUAACACUAACUGGAGGACCGAACCGACUAAUGUUGAAAAAUUAGCGGAUGACUUGUGGCUGGGGGUGAAAGGCCAAUCAAACCGGGAGAUAGCUGGUUCUCCCCGAAAGCUAUUUAGGUAGCGCCUCGUGAAUUCAUCUCCGGGGGUAGAGCACUGUUUCGGCAAGGGGGUCAUCCCGA